rnacentral:rRNA from 1 species
AGGAUUAACGCUGGCGGCGUGCCUAACACAUGCAAGUCGAACGAGGUAGCAAUACCUAGUGGCAGACGGGUGAGUAACACGUGGUCAACCUACCCUCAAGUGGGGGAUAACUAGCCGAAAGGUUAGCUAAUACCGCAUGAAACGUGCCGGGGCAUCCCGGAACGUUAAAAGGAGCAAUCCGCUCGAGGACGGGACCGCGCCCGAUUAGCUAGUUGGUGGGGUAAUGGCCUACCAAGGCUCCGAUCGGUAGCUGGUUUGAGAGAGCGACCAGCCACACUGGGACUGAGAAACGGCCCAGACUCCUACGGGAGGCAGCAGUGAGGAAUUUUCCGCAAUGGGCGAAAGCCUGACGGAGCGACGCCGUGUGUGGGAUGAAGGCCUUCGGGUCGUAAACCACUGUCGAAGGGAAUAUACUGAAGGUACCCUUGGAGGAAGCCCGGCUAACUACGUGCCAGCAGCCGC